rnacentral:tRNA from 2 species
UGUGGCAGAACAGUGCAAUAAAUUUAAGAUUUAUCAACAAAGUCAACUUUCUUUAGA